UACGGAGGGUGCAAGCGUUAUUCGGAAUUACUGGGCGUAAAGCGCACGUAGGUGGCUGAGUAAGUCGAUUGUGAAAGCCCUGGGCUUAACCUGGGAAUUGCAGUCGAUACUACUCAGCUAGAGUAUGGGAGAGGGUAGUGGAAUUCCCGGUGUAGCGGUGAAAUGCGUAGAUAUCGGGAGGAACAUCAGUGGCGAAGGCGGCUACCUGGCCCAAUACUGACACUCAGGUGCGACAGCGUGGGGAGCAAACAGG
rnacentral:rRNA from 1 species